rnacentral:rRNA from 1 species
AAUCAACGCUGGCGGCGUGCCUCAGACAUGCAAGUCGAACGAUUAAAGCUCCCUUCGGGAGUGCAUAAAGUGGCGCACGGGUGAGUAACACGUAAGUAAUCUACCUUCGAGUGGGGAAUAACGUUCGGAACGAACGCUAAUACCGCAUAAUGCAGCGGCAUCUAUGAUGACAGUUGUUAAAGAUUUAUCGCUUGAAGAGGAGCUUGCGGCAGAUUAGCAGUUGGUAAGGUAAUGGCUUACCAAGGCUACGAUCUGUAUCCGGUCUAAGAGGACGGUCGGACACACUGACACUGAAUAACGGGUCAGACUCCUACGGGAGGCAGCA